rnacentral:rRNA from 1 species
UAGUCCACGCCGUAAACGAUGAGCACUAGUUGUGGCGGGUAUUGACCCCUGCCGCGACGUAGCUAACGCAUUAAGUGCUCCGCCUGGGGAGUACGGUCGCAAGACUAAAACUCAAAGGAAUUGACGGGGGCCCGCACAAGCGGUGGAUCAUGUGGUUUAAUUCGAAGCAACGCGCAAAACCUUACCUGGGCUUAAAAUCCUGAGAAUCUGCUAGAGAUAGCGGAGUGCCUUUCGGGGAAUUCAGUGAUAGGCGCUGCAUGGCUGUCGUCAGCUCGUGUUGUGAAAUGUUGGGUUAAGUCUCGCAACGAGCGCAACCCCUAUCCUUAGUUGCCAGCAUUAAGUUGGGCACUCUAGGGAGACUGCCUGGGGUUAACCAGGAGGAAGGUGGGGAUGACGUCAAGUCCUCAUGGCCCUUAUGUCCAGGGCUACACACGUGAUACAAUGGAUGGUACAGAGGGAUGCGAAGUCGCGAGGCCAAGCAAAUCUCAAAAGCCAUUCUC